GACGAACGCUGGCGGCGUGCCUAAUACAUGCGAGUAGAACGCUGAAGGAGGAGCUUGCUUCUCUGGAUGAGUUGCGAACGGGUGAGUAACGCGUAGGUAACCUGCCUGGUAGCGGGGGAUAACUAUUGGAAACGAUAGCUAAUACCGCAUAAUAGCAGUUAUUGCAUGAUAACUGUUUGAAAGGUGCAAUUGCACCACUACCAGAUGGACCUGCGUUGUAUUAGCUAGUUGGUGGGGUAACGGCUCACCAUGGCGACGAUACAUAGCCGACCUGAGAGGGUGAUCGGCCACACUGGGACUGAGACACGGCCCAGACUCCUACGGGAGGCAGCAGUAGGGAAUCUUCGGCAAUGGACGGAAGUCUGACCGAGCAACGCCGCGUGAGUGAAGAAGGUUUUCGGAUCGUAAAGCUCUGUUGUAAGAGAAGAACGAGUGUGAGAGUGGAAAGUUCACACUGUGACGGUAUCUUACCAGAAAGGGACGGCUAACUACGUG
rnacentral:rRNA from 1 species